rnacentral:rRNA from 1 species
CCUACGGGAGGCAGCAGUGGGGAAUAUUGGACAAUGGGGGGAACCCUGAUCCAGCCAUGCCGCGUGUGUGAAGAAGGCCCUCGGGUUGUAAAGCACUUUCAGUGAGGAAGAACGCCUGGUGGUUAAUACCCAUCAGGAAAGACAUCACUCACAGAAGAAGCACCGGCUAACUCCGUGCCAGCAGCCGCGGUAAUACGGAGGGUGCGAGCGUUAAUCGGAAUUACUGGGCGUAAAGCGCGCGUAGGUGGCUUGAUAAGCCGGUUGUGAAAGCCCCGGGCUCAACCUGGGAACGGCAUCCGGAACUGUCAAGCUAGAGGGCAGGAGAGGAAGGUAGAAUUCCCGGUGUAGCGGUGAAAUGCGUAGAGAUCGGGAGGAAUACCAGUGGCGAAGGCGGCCUUCUGGACUGACACUGACACUGAGGUGCGAAAGCGUGGGUAGCAAACAGGAUUAGAUACCCUGGUAGUC